AGUGAACGCUGGCGGUAGGCCUAACACAUGCAAGUCGAACGGCAGCACAGUAAGAGCUUGCUCUUACGGGUGGCGAGUGGCGGACGGGUGAGGAAUACAUCGGAAUCUACUUUUUCGUGGGGGAUAACGUAGGGAAACUUACGCUAAUACCGCAUACGGCCUACGGGUGAAAGCAGGGGAUCUUCGGACCUUGCGCGAUUGAAUGAGCCGAUGUCGGAUUAGCUAGUUGGCGGGGUAAAGGCCCACCAAGGCGACGAUCCGUAGCUGGUCUGAGAGGAUGAUCAGCCACACUGGAACUGAGACACGGUCCAGACUCCUACGGGAGGCAGCAGUGGGGAAUAUUGGACAAUGGGCGCAAGCCUGAUCCAGCCAUACCGCGUGGGUGACGAAGGCCUUCGGGUUGUAAAGCCCUUUUGUUGGGAAAGAAAAGCAGCAGGUUAAUACCCCGCUGUUCUGACGGUACCCAAAGAAUAAGCACCGGCUAACUUCGUG
rnacentral:rRNA from 1 species